rnacentral:lncRNA from 10 species
CUCAAAUAAGAUAGGCCUCCCAGGUUAACUAAUUUCAGAGCAAUUUUUCAGAUUUAGAAAAUUGGAGUCAGGCGCAGUGGCUCACGCCUGUAAUCCCAGCACUUUGGGAGGCCGAGGCGGGCAGAUCACCUGAGGUCAGGAGUUCAAGACCAGCCUGGCCAAAAUGGUAGAUUCUAGUAUUACCUUCCUUUUUCAGAAGAGGAGACCAAUGGGGAGCAUUGGAAUGAUUUGGUUGCAAGCAUACUACACUACUUGUAAACUGCAGACACAGGCUUAAAAAAAGUGAAAAACUAACCAUGCAAUAAAGAAU